rnacentral:misc_RNA from 1 species
GGUGAAUGUACCAAAAGAUAAUCACCCAAAUUUCAUUUUAUGAAAUAGAGUUACUCAACAUACAACUCGUAGGUCAGGGAAGGAAACCGUAAACGGAUAUCUCACGGCAAGAAGAUUGUAGGUGACUAGCGAUUUACUUCAGAAUUUACGACAAGUACACUUGAACACUUGAAUUUUUCAUCAACCGGCAUACAGGACAAACAUUGAUUAACAUAUCACAGUCUUUACAUAAACAUAAAUGCCUACAAG